AGGAUAAACGCUGGCGGCGUGCCUAAAACAUGCAAGUCGAACGGUCACCUUUCGGGGUGGUAGUGGCGAACGGCUGAGUAACACGUGGAUGACCUGCCCUCGAACGGGGAUAACUGCCCGAAAGGGUGGCUAAUACCGCAGACAUCAUGGGUUCGUUCUCAUGAUUGAACCGCUACAGGGUUCGGGAGGGUCCGCGGCCGAUUAGCUAGCUGGUGGGGUAAUGGCCUACCAGGGCGUCGAUCGGUAGCUGGUCUGAGAGGAUGAUCAGCCAGACUGGGACUGCGAACGGCCCAGACUCCUACGGGAGGCAGCAGUUAGGAAUUUUGGGCAAUGGGCGAAAGCCUGACCCAGCAACGCCGCGUGGGUGAUGAAGGUCCUCGGGUCGUAAACCCCUUUCAGCAGGGACGAAAUCAGACGGUACCUGCAGAAGAAGCUCCGGCCAACUACGUGCCAGCAGCCGC
rnacentral:rRNA from 1 species